GCAGUGAAUCCUAUUGUCCCCCGGUUACCAUCGAUGAACAAAAAUAUGGAGCUCCUUUUUUGUGUACUGCCCCCUUAAAGGUAUCUCUAAAUUCAUUUGAUAUGUGUUUGUUCCAUUUGUUUCAUUUUAUGUAACAAAACAAUAUUUGUUGAAUUUAAGUAAUAAAAAUCGACACUAUAAAAAAUUCUUACCCCAUCAAGUCAUCUUUACCUUAGGUGGCUUGUUGAAAAAUACAUAACAUAAAUAUUUAUAUUGAUGGUAUAUACACUUCACUCUAUUUUGUUUGUUCAAUUCCAUUUUUUUUUUUUAAUUUGUACAACUUUCUAAAUUUUGCAACAAUUUAACUUAAAAUUUUCAAUUUUAAUGUAGGUACAUUUGAUUUUUUUGUGUUGUUUUUGUUACAGUUCAAAUAUGCAAAUUACCAGAAUGCCAAUUACACCAAGACUGGGAGGACUUCACUUAAAUUCCGUCUAAUCAACCAGCGUGGGGAUUUCUCCUUUGCCUUCUUCUCUGGUGGUUUGGAGAAUGUAAUUAUACUAUGAUGCUUCCCUACACAUUUCUAUUUUUUCCUUUUUGGUUAUUGAUAAACUCGUUCGAACCCUUUUGUCAAAUGUACUACUUUUGGAAGAUCCGAUAUGCACCCGUCAACAUAUUCAAAGAGUGCAAGCAACAUACAGAAGGCGUUGAUUUCUCACAUUGUCACUUAACUAGCUAAUAGUUAUUAUCUCAGAAACUUUCAGUGUCGAGGAAAAAAUGUAAACAAGAGAGGUAUUUCAUGAGAUAAUAAUUGUUAGUUGAGCGACCAUACGAGAAAUCAACCCGAUACAAGAGUACUUGAGCUUUGUAGGAUAUGUGUUAUACUUCAUGCUAAUGAUCAUUAUGAUUUAUGUUUGUCCUAUAUUUUGAAACUGUAACUUUGAUGAGACUUGGAUAUGGACUAAUUGAUUCAUGUGUUUUACAGCCUAAGUUGAUAGGCAUCUCAAAUUUCGUCGGCUAUGCCAAUCCGAAAGCGCCUCUUUAUCCGCGUCUUGCUCUUGGCAAGUCAUGGGAUAUUGUAAGUUCUUUUUUCUUGCUAUGCACUUAUUAACUCUUCUUCCUUAAGAUACAUUUGUGAUUUAUGAACCUGUAUAUGUUACGUGGGGUUCAAUAUCAAUAUUGAUUGUAGUAGUGUGUCGAGGUGAUCAAUUCAUCAAGUCCUUAAAUUGGAGUUGAUUCGUUAAUUCGAAUCCCCUUUGCUGUGUCACUGCAUACAAGUUGGAGAUUCGUGUUUACUUGUUAAGCAUCUAGUAAUCUAGUGCUCGUAUCAUGUCAUGAGAUUAACUUGUGUCUUUUUUAUUUCUCCUAGAUGACGGUCACUUGGACAAGUGGUUACAACAUAGACGAGGCUGUUCCAUUUGUCGAAUGGGGUUGGAAGGGCCAAGAGCAAAAGCGUUCCCCAGCCGGGACACUGACAUUUCAUCGGAACAGCAUGUGUGGUAUGAAAACUUCUAUGAAAAAAUGACUUUGUUGAGAUUAUUAGAUGAUUAGCUGCUAAGAUAUUUAUGUGCCAUGUCAGCAGUUAGUUGGAUGGUUUAGGAUGCUUAGUGGUAGAUUAGCUGGUGACAGCUGUGCAGCUAUGCACCUUAUUUCCGUUUCUAUAUAACUGAUAGGCUAGAGAUAUUUUCAUAUUCAUUCAGUUUAAUAUUCAUUCAGUUCAAUGAAAAAUCCCCAUAUGGGUUUUCAAUUGUCUCUCCCCCUUCUCUCUGUUUCAGCUAUUUUGCUCCCUUUAGGUUAAGAUUUCGUCAUGGUAUCAGAGAUAGGUUGCAAUUAUUGAUCAAAUUGCAGCUCGUAGUAGUUUGAUUUAGCUUGCAGAUUCCUAUUUUCGUGCAAUUUACUCCGUUCAUCGUCCAUUUUCUCUCCUCUAUAGUGAAAAUUUCGAUUUGAUUUGCUCAAAGUUAUCCAUCUAUGGAUGAAAACACCGAAAGUUAGGUAAAUUCAAGGAAGGAAACUACAGAUUCAAACAAUCCUUUAUACAUGCAUCCCUCUGAAAGUGCUCGAUCUGCGUUGGUCCCGGUGGUGUUUGAUGGAAGUGGAUAUAGGUCCUGGAGAUGAAGCGUGCUUAAGGCAAUUUCCGUGAAGAACAAAGUUGGUUUUGUUACUGGAAAAUGUAAGAAACCUGUUGUAGAAGACGCUAGUUACGAACAAUGGAUGUGCUGUUAUGAUAUGGUAACUUUAUGGAUCCUUAAUUCGCUCACGAAGGAUUUGGGAGAUAGUUUACAAUUCGUAAACGAUGCCAGAGAACUCUGGCAGGAAUUAGAAGAUCGAUAUGAUCAAACAAACAGUGCGAAAUUAUACCAGGUGCAGAGAGAGAUCAAUGACCUGAGUCAGGGAGCCUUAGAUAUCACUGGUUACUACACGAAGAUGAAAAAGUUGUGGGAAGAGUUCAGUGCCCUGACUACACAUGCAGAAUGUACCUGUCAUUGCACAUGUGGGGCUAAGAUGAGCAUGCAAAAGGCUGAGCAAGAUAGGAGGUUGAUUUUGUUUCUAAUGGGACUAAAUGAGGUGUACACCGUAGUGAGAGGGAGUAUGCUUAUGAUGAAUCCACUGCCCACUGUUGCACAAGCUUUUUCCAUACUCAUCCAAGAGGAGAAGCAACGGGAAGUUAGGCCAAGCAGCCAAUAGUUUUUGGAAUCUGCAUCUAUGUACGCAAAUAGAGCUAGUGGCAGUAACUCGAAGGGACAUUACAGUCACAAUCAGAACAACAUCAAUACUGGAAAUUUCAGAACAAACUACAGUGGUAACUCAAGUACUGACUAUAGAAAUGAUGGAUACAAUUCUAACAGACCUAGACCAUUUUGUGAGCAUUGUAGGAGACCCGGGCACACUAAAGACAAAUGUUUCAAGAUCCAUGGAUACCCACAGGGCCCUUCUUUUCCUCCUUCACAGGCUCCUAGGUACAACAAUUACAAUAAUAACAAAGGAAAACGACUUGCAGCAAAUGCAUAUGGUGAAAGUUUUGACACCGGAGAGAAUGAAUGUGGACCAAGUGAACAUGGAAGAGCAAUGCAACAUCUAACCAAGGAACAAUAUGGACAACUGGUCAAGAUAUUGGGUAGUUUGCAGAUUGGUACCAAUACAAAUGAAACUUCAACUUUGAAUGGCGAUGUACAUGGAGGAGCUGUAAACUUCGCAGGUAUUAUUGCUUGCUCUACUUCUGUUGAACAUGGGAAUCAAUGUAGUGAAUUGCCUAGAUCGAAUGUUGAUACUUGGAUCCUUGCUUCUGGAGCAACAAACCACAUGACUCACAACAGAAAAAUCCUCAUUAAUGCAAAAUCACUAAUAUAUCCCUUCCUAGUGUCUUUACCAAAUGGUUACAAAGUUAAGGUGACUCUAAUUGGUGAUGUUGUUCUUAGUCCAACCAUCACUCUAAAGCAAGUCUUAUUUGUUCCUUGUUUCAAGUUUAAUUUGAUUUCCAUCGCUGAUUUAACAGUUCAACUCAAUUGUGUUGUAGUCUUUACCAGAUUUUCAUGCCUUUUUCUACAGGGCCCUUCACAGAAGAGGCCUCUGGAGAUUGGUAGCACUAAAGGCAGUCUUUAUCUUCACUACUCAGAAUCAAGUCAAGCCAAAUCUAAUCCUUCUUCUGCUGCUUUGUCAAAUUCCACUGUUAAUUCAUGUUCUGGGGAUAUACAUAAAGUGUCUAAUUCUUUCAUUACUAAGUCUAGUUGUUCUACUGAUGUGUCAAAUUCCCUUGUGGUGUCUUGUAAUAAGUCUGCACCUAGUGUUUCCUCUACUGUGUUUCCUUGUAGUAAACUCAUCUCCACUUGUCGUAAGUUUGUAACAAAGGAUUCUAUUUCAUUUAAUGAAAGGGAUUUUUUUGUUAAUAAUGCAUCUUUACCUGCUGAAAUGGAUGUAAAUAUCUUAUGGCAUCACAGAUUGGGACAUGUGCCCUUUGUUAAAAUGAGGAGUAUCCCCUCUAUACCAGCCUCUUUUCCACAUAAACAACCUUUUUUUGGUCAUAUAUGUCCCAUGGCCAGACAAAGCAGAUUGCCAUUUCCCCAAAAGACUACCAAUUCUACUCAAGUUUUUCAGUUACUGCAUGUAGACCUCUGGGGCCCUUACAAUGUUGAAACCCAUGAUAAAUGCAGAUAUUUCAUUACCUUUGUGGAUGACUAUAGUAAAUGCACUUGGACACACCUACUUAGUUGCAAGAGCAAUGCCUUACACACUAUCAAAAUAUUUUUUUCUAUGGUGGAAAACCAAUUUAAUACUACCAUUAAAAUCAUCAGAACUGAUAAUGGUUUGGAAUUCUGCAAUCAUGAAUCCAAAAAUUUUUUCCGACUCAAAGGAAUUGUACACCAAAAGACUUGUCCCUACACAACACAACAAAAUGAUGUGGUGGAUAGAAAACACAAAUACCUCCUUGAGACAGCAAGAGCACUCUUCUACCAAUCCAAAUUGCCUCUCAUAUAUUGGGGUGAAUGCAUUCUUACAUCCACCUACAUAAUCAAUAGACUGCCCUCUUCUUCCAUACAUAAUCUCACCCUUUAUGAACGAUUAUAUAAGAAAAAACCCCUUUACUGCCACCUUAGGAGUUUUGGCUGCCUUUGCUAUCCCACCACACUCAAGAAUCACAAAGAUAAAUUUGAGCCUAGAUCACUUCCUCAUGUGUUUGUAGGAUACCCUUAUGGAACCAAAAGUUACAGGGUUCUUAAUCUAGCCACUAGAAAGAUAUAUGUUUCAAGGGAUGUGUUGGUUUAUGAAAAUAUUUUUCCUUUUGUUCUAUCUUCUGAUCCUAGAGACAUGCACUAUGAUUUUGGUAACUCUUCUUCUUUUCCUGUGUCUAAUUGCCCUUCUGUCGUGUCUACUGGUUGGUCUUGUCCCAAACCUUUUGACUAUGUCUCCUCUAACACAUCUCCUUCCUCACCACCCACUCACACCGAUCUUGAUAACCCUAUUGAGUCACUACAUUCCGGUCGUCAUGAGGAGUCACCUGAACCAGUACUUGAUAGUGAUUUGGGAUUUUCCUUGCCUGAUGAUACUUCCCCGAGUCACACAUCUCAUCAUACUAACUCCAGUACACAUAUUUCAUCCACACCUAUCAACAACGAUCCCUCUACUCCACACUUAUCCACUCUUGAAGUUGCUCCAAAUAGACCAUCUAGAUUACACAAGUUACCCUCUUAUCUGAAAGACUAUGUUUGUACUCUUCCUAGUCUUUACUCUGUUCCUAUCACCUCAACUAGUAACACUGCUAGUUCCCAUUCUACCUCACAUAGUCCCAGCUCUUACUUCUGCUCCCAUCUUUCUGCUACUCAUCACAUAUCCCUUAAUGCCUUGGAUCCUGCUAGUCAACAUUUGAUCAAAGCUGUUUCACUUGAUUGUGAGCCUAUCUCAUAUGAAGAGGCUGCAAGAUUGCCUGCUUGGCAAACAACAAUGAAUCAGGGAUUUGAAGCAUUUCAUGCUAACGACACUUGGGAUUUAGUCCCUCUUCCACAUAGAAAGAAGGCUAUAGGUUGCAAGUGGGUGUAUAAAAUAAAACACAAAGCUGAUGAUAGUGUGGAAAGACUCAAGGCAAGGUUGGUUGUAAAAGGGUACACUCAACAGGCUGGAAUAGACCAUACGGAGACUUUUUCACCUGUUGUGAAGAUGACAACUGUGAGGACUUUAAUUGGUGUUGCAGUAAAAAGAGGGUGGGACAUCUUUCAACU
rnacentral:lncRNA from 1 species